UGGGCCGACACUGGCCUAGAUGUCAACAUGGCAUAUCUUCCAAUCCUGCACGCAAAUCUCGCCUGCUGAUCUUCACCACUUCUCUGCCAUCACUUAAUGGAAUUUAUGAGCCGGAGACCCUUCAUCGCCCUUCCACAAAUGAACGUGAAACGGACAUAAUCUCAACAGUCAACCGCUUUCAUGGCCAUAAAAUUGUGGAAGAAACCGAAGUACAGUAGGCGUCAGCGGUCUUUGCCUUUAAAUACCUCUACUGAUUUCCAUUGUUUACCAGCGCAAGUACGCGCCCCUGCUCUACGUCGUUGGGCUCAAGUUUGGUGAAUUAUCUCUCUUAGCCUGGUGACUUUUGAAAUGAUCAAUUUGAUCACAUGAAAGUCUAGAAUUAUGGAAGGUAUUUGAUUUAAUCGCGCACUAACCAUUUAUCUGUCAGAUUACAAUCUCCAUCUCCAUCAGGCGUUGGGUACUAUCAGUGUUCAUCUCACGAUCUCACCCAUGGAGAAGCUGCUCCUACUCUCCCCUACAGAAUCUCUGGUUUUCUUAUGCAGCCGAAUCACUCCAGCCCGUUAGAUGUGUCUGACCAUCCAGCCAUAUAAACAUCACUGUAUGCUACCUUUACAAAGUUGCACGGUCAGCUUCUUCCCGUCCCGCUUUAUCUGCAAACUGCAGUUGCACAAGAAGCUCAAGGUAGUAUUGGGAUCUCAAGUAGUUAUUCUUUAAGAAGUACUCAUGGGAGCUUGUGGGGAGGUGCUCAAUUUCAGAAUUUCAAGCUACUUGGACUGUCGACUAAUUCCUCUCAUCUUGGUGCAAAUUUUCCUUCUGGAUAAUUUAUGAAAGGCUCCUGCUUGGAUUUGCUUUCGUGAUGUGAGCUAGAAGAACUACUUCUUUAAUUCUCCUUUUUCAGGAGCCAUAAAGAAUACAAUUGAUUUUUUU